AUUAAAAGUUAAGUUGUCAUGACCAAGACAACUUCUGGUAAUGUCACUUUGAUUAAUGUCAAGUUGUCAUAAUCAAGACAACCCACACAAUGUCAAC